rnacentral:rRNA from 1 species
CAGUCGCCGCGGUAAUACGGAGGAUCCAAGCGUUAUCCGGAAUCAUUGGGUUUAAAGGGUCCGUAGGCGGUCUUGUAAGUCAGUGGUGAAAGCCCAUCGCUCAACGGUGGAACGGCCAUUGAUACUGCAGGACUUGAAUUAUUGGGAAGUAACUAGAAUAUGUAGUGUAGCGGUGAAAUGCUUAGAGAUUACAUGGAAUACCAAUUGCGAAGGCAGGUUACUACCAAUUGAUUGACGCUGAUGGACGAAAGCGUGGGUAGCGAACAGGAUUAGAUACCCCGGUAGUCCCUGUCUCUUAUAC